ensembl:lncRNA
GCUGGUGGGAGGGGAGGUGCUUUGCCUGGCCGCCCCCUUCUCUGGGGAUCCUGUCUCGGUCGCUUCCCCCACUCCUGUUCCCGGGCUUGUAUCAACCCCACCCAGUGGCUACUGCUGUCUGUGCCCGAGGACCUCAUCUCCUCGCAGAGGCUGGCUCCCCGCAUCCCGCAUCCCACACGGGGACACGCCUGUGGCCUUGCCAGGGUGGGCGGGACACGGCCUCUUUCCUUCCUUCCCAUCCAGCGCCGGUGAGGCUCAGCACUCACUGUCUCACUGGCAGCACAAAGCCUUGGGGGCUCCACGGGAUAAUUAAUAGCGAGGACGCCCCCAGGGACCUCCGGAAAGAGACACCAUUGGUGGCAGGCCUCCAGGUUCUCGUCUGCCUGAGAGGAUGAGCUACAUCCGUACAGAGCCUGGCACUCCGGAUGCUGGCGGAAUUGAUUCAGUAGCAUGAGCAGGAAGGUCCAUUUGAAGAGAUCACUCCAAAACAGCGGUUCGCAACAAGAAUGGUUCAUGCAGGACAGAAAAAGGAGAGACAAAGGACUGUCAGGAGAGUGACUGGUCCAAAUGAGGACUCAGGAACCCCCAGUGGAUCCAGAGAGAAAAACACUCUGGGUAGGAAGGGCAUGGGAAGUGAUUACUAUGCACUUGUGCUGGAGCAAAAUGACACCAGGGGAGGUUGACCAGCACCCUCUGGGUUCAUUCUUUUUAUAAGGAAGACUUCUGGUCUCUUACUCUGUUCCUUGAAUGGAUUUACAUCCCAGAAAGAUGUGUGCUCUGUGCAAAUGAAGGGGUACUCUUCCACUGUAAAGAAUGCAUUGGCUUUCUGGACUGGGGGGCCGGCUGGUACAAGUGUUUCCCAGGAGAGAGAAGUUUCUGAAAGGAUUUUUGGAGUUGCAGAGUCAAGGACCAGGCUGGGAGUCUUGGUGACCCCACCAAGCACAGAGGAUGCCAGGCGCCUGAUUGGAGAAGGCUGUGGGAGUCUUCUAGAACAAUCGUGCUAACUGCACACACCAUCUGCAUGAACCAAUACCAGGUUGUACUGGUAUUCAGCCAUCUUGUACUAUUUCCUCGGGGUGUCCCUAGAGUGUUUCGUUUUUGACUAGCAUUUCAGCAGCCUGCAGGUAGGGACAGCAUUUCAUACACAGUGUGCGCCUCCCAGGAGCCAGGUGCAGCUGGGGUGUGUGACUGUGAGGCUCCUUGCUGUCCAUGACAUAAUGUCACCCCCACUGCCUCAGCUUACUCCCCAGUCACCCCUUGAGGUAACAGGGCUGGUGCUUUUACAAUUCCCAUUUUAAAGAUGAGGAAACAGGCUGGGUGUGGUGGCUCACGCCUGCAAUCCCAGCACUUUGGGAGGCUGAGGCAGGUGGGUCAUUUGAGUUCAGGAGUUCGAGAUCAGCCUGACCAACACAAAAAAUUACCAGAGUGUGGUGGUGCAUGCCUGUCAUUUCAGCUACUUGGGAGGCUGAGGCCUGAGAAUUGCUUGAACCCAGAGGUGGACGUUGCAGUGAGCCGAGAUCGCACCACUGCACUCUAGCCUGGGUGACACAGCGAGACUCCAUCUCAAAAAAAAAAAAAAAAAAAAAA